rnacentral:rRNA from 1 species
GGCGAACGCUGGCGGCGUGCUUAACACAUGCAAGUCGAACGGUAAGGCCCUUCGGGGUACACGAGUGGCGAACGGGUGAGUAACACGUGGGUGAUCUGCCCUGCACUUCGGGAUAAGCCUGGGAAACUGGGUCUAAUACCGGAUAGGACCACUGCCUGCAUGGGUGGGGGUGGAAAGCUUUUGCGGUGUGGGAUGGGCCCGCGGCCUAUCAGCUUGUUGGUGGGGUGAUGGCCUACCACGGGGACGGCGGGUAGCCGGCCUGAGAGGGUGACCGGCCACACUGGGACUGAGAUACGGCCCAGACUCCUACGGGAGGCAGCAGUGGGGAAUAUUGCACAAUGGGCGCAAGCCUGAUGCAGCGACGCCGCGUGAGGGAUGACGGCCUUCGGGUUGUAAACCUCUUUCAGCACCGACGAAGCGCAAGUGACGGUAGGUGCAGAAGAAGGACCGGCCAACUACGUGCCAGCCGCCGCCGUAA